GAUGAACGCUGGCGGCGUGCCUAAUACAUGCAAGUCGAGCGAACAGACGAGGAGCUUGCUCCUCUGACGUUAGCGGCGGACGGGUGAGUAACACGUGGAUAACCUACCUAUAAGACUGGGAUAACUUCGGGAAACCGGAGCUAAUACCGGAUAAUAUAUUGAACCGCAUGGUUCAAUAGUGAAAGACGGUUUUGCUGUCACUUAUAGAUGGAUCCGCGCCGCAUUAGCUAGUUGGUAAGGUAACGGCUUACCAAGGCAACGAUGCGUAGCCGACCUGAGAGGGUGAUCGGCCACACGGGAACUGAGACACGGUCCAGACUCCUACGGGAGGCAGCAGUAGGGAAUCUUCCGCAAUGGGCGAAAGCCUGACGGAGCAACGCCGCGGGAGUGAGGAAGGUCUUCGGUUCGUAAAACUCUGUUAUUAGGGAAGAACAAAUGUGUAAGUAACUAUGCACGUCUGGACGGUACCUAAGCAGAAAGCCACGGCUAACUACGG
rnacentral:rRNA from 1 species